UGAGAAUGUUAGACACCUGUCGCAUAAUUAAGUUAUAUGAUGACGUACAGGGUGUUCUCCACCCCUUCUCAACCAAACCACUCUGAGUGAGUGCGAAACUGAACAAACUCAAACCAGACGUGAUGAGGAACGCGCCCAUCCAAUCGACUUGUCGGUUUCCGUUAUCUUUUUUUGAGGGCUCCGGAGGUAUGGAGAACACACCGCCGACAACAGGGAAUAAGGAAAGACCAGCAAGGAUAAAAAAGACAUAUUGCCAGGCGCGACUGUUGAUGAACUACAAUGAUCAUGCCUGGUCCAGAGCCGACGGGGUAGCCUAAGGCCAAAGCGGCAAAAGCGAUGGUCCUUCCGGGUUCACUGUCGAAAGUAACACCGAUGAUACCGAACGCGGCAGGCAAUGCAACAGAUAUAGCAAGGCCAGCGAAGGCACGAAGAACACAUAUACCGAUAUAGUUCUAUGCACGUCAUUAUCACCUGACUCAAAAGGAAAUUAUCUCCAAGACUCACUCGAACAACACCAGAAAUAACAUUCAAGAUCAAGAAAGCCGCCAUACCGAGCAAAUAGAGCCACUUCCUCCCAUACAAAUCAGCCAAUCGCCCAGAUACCAAAAGGCCACAGCCAUUGGCCAAUGAGUAGGCUGAACUGAUCUGUGACGACAUCAGCUCUACAUGCUUUAUUUGCGCUUAAAAGAAAAUGGCUUACCCACUGGGCUUGCAGUUCAGUGAUACCCAAAUCCCUGGCAGAGUUGGGGAUACAAAGAAGAGAUGAAGACAAAGUGGCAGACUGCGAAAAUAAUUAGCACAGAUUCUUCGGCAAUAUCUUCAUCAAACUUACUGCAACAAAUGUGGUACUCAUCAUGACGGUGCCCAGCAAAAUCCUCUUGCUUUUGGACAAAACCACCUUCUGUGGAGGAGCAUACUCUAAGGUCGGCAAGUAGUUUUCGACUGGAGUCUGCUGACCCGACUCUAGCUCAUCUUUCUCUUUUUCCUUGUCAUCCGUUGACCUUUCCGAUAUUUUGCUAGUGGCACGAGAAAGACCACUUGGGGGGAAGACAAAUUGCCUGUCUUCAGUUGCCGCUGGAGUGUUGGCGGCGGUAGAUGAGGAAGAGGGAAGAUAGAGGUAUUUCUCUUCCGAAGUGAUGCCAGUCAUUGCACCGGAUCGCUUAAUGCUGGUGAUAAGAUGGUGAAAGAGGUACUAAAAUAGGAGGUUGGCUUUUAUAUGUUAUUAGGUCUGAUUUUGUCGUUUCAGACAGAAUCUAUCGGAAAACCAGCUGGAUGGUGCUAAUAUAAAGGCCUCCCGAGAGAAUAGUAAAUGAAUACAAAUGAAAGAGAAC
rnacentral:sRNA from 1 species